rnacentral:lncRNA from 1 species
CCGUCUCCAACGAAAUCCUCAGAGAGGUCCAAAUAUCCACCUGCAGAGUCUACAAAAAGUGUGUUUCAAAACUGCUCCACCCAAAGGAAUGUUCAGCUCUGUGAGUUGAAUUCAAUCAUCCCAAAGUAUUUUCUGAGAAGGCUUCUGUCCAGUUUUUACAUGAAGCUGUUUCCUUUACUACCGUAGGCCUCAAAGCGUUCCAAACCUCCACUUGCAGAUACUACGAAAAGAGCGUUUCAACCUGAACUCACAAGGGAAGUUUCAACUCUGUCAGUUGAAUGCCAACAUCACCAAGAACUUCUGAGAAUGUUCCUCUUCAGUUAUGUGAGGUUUAUCCCGUUUCCAACGAAAUUCUCAGAGAAGUCCCAAAAUCCACUGGCAUAUUCCACAAAAGGUGUGUUUGGAAAUUGCGCCAUCAAAAGAUAUGCUCAGCUCUGUGAGUUAAACUCAAUCAUCGCAAAGAAUUUUCUGAGAAUGCUUCCGUCUUGUUUUAGGAUGAAGUUAUUUCCUUUACUACGAUAGGCCUCAAAGAGGUCCAAAUCUCCACUUGCAGAUUCUGCAGAAGGAGUGUUUCAAACCUGAACUAUCAGAGAAAGGUUCAACACUGUGAGUUGAAUGCAAGCAUCACGAAGAAGGUUCUGAGAAUACUUCUGUUUAGAUAGGUGAGUUUUCUCCCGUAUCCAACGAAAUCCUCAGAGAGGUCCAAAUAUCCACUUGCAGAUUCUACAGAAAGUGUGUUUUGAAACUGCUCCAAACAAAGGAGUGUUCAGCUCUGAGAGUUGAACUCAAUCGUCACAAAGUGUUUCCUGGGAAUGCUACUGUCUAGUUUUUAUGUGCAGUUAUAUCCUCUGCUGCCAUAGGCCUCAAAGUGUUCCAAAUCUCCCCUUUCAGAUUCUACCAGAAGUGUGUUUCCAAACGGCUCUAUCAAAGGGAAUGUUCAACACUGUGACUUGAAUGCAAUCAUCACAAAGCAGUUUCUGAGAAUGCUUCCAUGUAGCUUUUAUGAGAAGAUAUUUCCUUUUCCACCCCAGGUCUCGAAGCCCUCCAAAUGUCUCCUUGCAGAUGCUAGAAAGAGAGGGUUUCAAAGCUGCUCUAUCAAAAGUAAAGUACAACUCUGUGAGUUGAAUGCAAACAUCACAAAGAAGUUCCUGAGCAUGCUUCCGUUUAGCUUUCAUGGGAAGAUAAUCCCUAUUCCAUCGAAAUGUUCAAAGAGGUCCGCAUAUCCACUUGCAGAUUCCACCGAAAGAGUGUUUCCAAACUGCUGUAUCAAAAGGAAUCUUAAACUCCGUGAGUUGAAUGCAAUCAUCACAAAGAAGUUUCUGACAAUGCUGCUCUCUAGUUUUUAUGUGAAGAUAUUAUCUUUUCCACCACAGGCCAGAAAGCGCUCCAAAUGUCCACUUGGAGACACUACGAAAAGAAUGUUUCAAAACUGCUCUAUGAAAAGCAAUGUUAUACUCUGGGAGUUGAACACAAGCCUCACAAAGGAGUUUCUGAGAAUGCUUCUGUUUACUUUUUACGUGAAGAUAUUCCCGUUUCCAAAGAAAUCUUCACAGAGUUCCACCUAUCCAUUUGCAGAUGCUAGAAAAAGAGAGUUUCAAAACUGCUCUAUCAAAAGGAAUGUUCAACUCUGUGAGUUGAAUGCAAUCAUCGCAGAGAAGUUUCUGAGAAGGCUUCUGUCUAGAUUUUUUGUGAAGAUAUACCCGUUUCGAACGAAGGCCACAAAGUGCUCCAAAUAUCCACUUGCAGGUCCUCCAACAAGAGUGUUUCAAACGUGAACUAUCAAAGGAAGGUUCAACUCUGGACUUUGAAUGCAAACGUCAGAAAGAUGUUUCUGCGAAAGCUUCUGUUUAGUUAGGUGACGUUAUCCCGUUUCCAACGAAAUCCUCAGAGAGGUCCAAAUAUCCACCUGCAGAUUCUCCAAAAAGUGUGUUUCCAAACUGCUCCACCCAAAGGAAUGUUCAGCUCUGUGAGUUAAACUCAAUCAACACAAAGUAUUUUCUGAGAAUGCUUCUGUCCAGUUUUUACAUGAAGCUGUUUCCUUUACUACCGUAGGCCUCAAAGCGUUCCAAACCUCCACUUGCAGAUACUACGAAAAGAGCGUUUCAACCUGAACUCACAAGGGAAGGUUGAACUCUGUCAGUUGAAUGCCAACAUCACCAAGAAGUUCUGAGAAUGUUCCUCUUCAGUUAUGUGAGAUUUAUCCCGUUUCCAACGAAAUUCUCAGAGAAGUCCCAAAAUCCACUUGCAUAUUCCACAAAGGUGUGUUUUGAAAAUGCGCCUUCAAAAGAUAUGCUCAGCUCUGUGAGUUAAACUCAAUCAUCGCAAAGAAUUUUCUGAGAAUGCUUCCGUCUUGUUUUUAGAUGAAGUUCUUUCCUUUACUACGAUAGGCCUCAAGGAGGUCCAAAUCUCCACUUGCAGAUUCUGCAGAAGGAGUGUUUCAAACCUGAACUGUCAGAGAAAGUUUCAACACUGUGAGUUGAAUGCAAGCAUCACGAAGAAGGUUCUGAGAAUGCUUCUGUUUACGUAGGUGACUUUUCUCCCGUAUCCAACGAAAUCCUCAGAGCAGUCCAAAUCUCCACUUGCAGAUUCUACACAAAGUGAGUUUGGAAACUGCUCCACCCAAAGGAAUGUUCAGCUCUGUGAGUUGAACUGAAUCGUCACAAAGCGUUUCCUGGGAAUGCUCCUGUCUCGCUUUCAUGUGCAGUUAUAUCAUCUACUGCCAUAGGCCUCAAAGCGGUCCAAAUCUCCCCUUUCAGAUUCUACCAAAAGUGUGUUUCAAAACGGCCCCAUCAAAGGGGAUGUUCAACUCGGUGACUUGAAUGCAAUCAUCACAAAGCAGCUUCUGAGAAUGCUUCCAUGUAGGUUUGAUGAGAAGAUACUUCCUUUUCCACCCGAGGCCUCGAAGCCCUCCAAAUGUCCCCUUGCAGAUGCUAGAAAGAGGGGGUUUCAAAGCUGCUCUAUCAAAAGGAAAGUACAACUCUGUGAGGUGAAUGCAAACAUCACAAGGAAGUUCCUGAGCAUGCUUCCGUUUAGCUUUUACGGGAAGAUUAUCCCUUUUCCAUCGAAAUGUUCAAAGAGGUCCACAUAUCCGCUUGCAGAUUCCACUGAAAGAGUGUUUCCAAACUGCUGCAUCAAAAGGAAUCCUCAGCUCCGUGAGUUGAAUGCAAUCAUCACCAAGAAGUUUCUGACAAUGCUUCUCUCUAGUUUUUAUGUGAAGAUAUUUCCUUUUCCACUGCAGGCCUGAAAGCGCUCCAAAUGUCCACUUGGAGGCUCUACGAAAAGAAUGUUUCAAAACUGCUCUACGAAAAGCAAUGUUAUACUCUGGGAGUUGAACACAAGCCUCACAAAGGAGUUUCUGAGAAUGCUUCUGUUUACUUUUUACGUGAGGAUAUUCCCGUUUCCAAAGAAGUCUUCACAGAGUUCCACCUACCCAUUUGCAGUUGCUAGGAAAAGAGAGUCUCAAAACUGCUCCAUCAAAAGGAAUGUUCAACUCUGUGAGUUGCAUGCAAUCAUCACAGAGAAGUUUCUGAGAAGGCUUCUGUCUAGAUUUUAUUUGAAGAUAUGGCCGUUUCGAACGAAGGCCACAAAGUGC